ACGAAGGGGGCUAGCGUUGCUCGGAAUGACUGGGCGUAAAGGGCGCGUAGGCGGACCAGACAGUCAGACGUGAAAUUCCUGGGCUUAACCUGGGGGCUGCGUUUGAUACGUUUGAUCUAGAGUGGGGAAGAGGGUCGUGGAAUUCCCAGUGUAGAGGUGAAAUUCGUAGAUAUUGGGAAGAACACCGGUGGCGAAGGCGGCGACCUGGUCCUUGACUGACGCUGAGGCGCGAAAGCGUGGGGAGCAAACAGGAUUAGAUACCCUGGUAGUCCACGCCGUAAACGAUGUGUGCUGGAUGUUGGGUGGCCUAGCCAUUCAGUGUCGUAGCUAACGCGGUAAGCACACCGCCUGGGGAGUACGGCCGCAAGGUUG
rnacentral:rRNA from 1 species